rnacentral:lncRNA from 1 species
AGAAAAACAACAAAGUAAAUAAACCAAAGUAGAAAACAUUCAAAACAACUAAAAAUGAAAUGCACGAUAAGUUACUAAUUAAGAAACAAACAAAAUUCUAAAAAAAUUUACUUCAGCUCCAAGGUAUUGAUGGACAAAGAAAGGGUAAAAUUUAUAUACAAUUUGAACUGACACGAUCAUUAUACAAUACAAUAUGUAUACAAUUCCAAUGAUGAUGAUUAGUCGAAUAAUUUAUAUAUUUAUAGAGGAUGAUGGCACAUGUACUUAUGACUGCUACAAAGCAUAUAUAUUACUAAGAAGGAGUUUAAUAACGGCUUAAAAAUAAUAUAUUAUGUCUAUGAGUAAGUAGAAUGGACAAUACACAGAGAACGACUUUAACAAAUGUGGAUGUUCCUCAGUGCAUUAUUUUCAUUUCUAAUUUUGAUCUUUUAUCAAGAAUAAAUGUCGACUUUUGAAAAAGGGUCUAUGGACUUUAGCUACCGUACUUUCCCUGAAAAAUUAUGUAAAAUGUCCGAGCAGCAUUCAAGUGUCUCGGGUUUUUGAAACGGUGUAAUACAUCACUCGAUCUGAUCUUCUUACUAUUUAUACCACUUAUAUCUGACCAAAAAAUUAAUACAACUUUCAUGCUUGGCCGGAGCUCGAAGUCUUUUUUGGAGCUACCCGACCUUGUACAAUAGAGAGCGAAUGAACUUUUUGGAGAAAGUAGGGUAUCCAACUCUAUUGAUUCAAUGGAACACCAUCACAACAUGGGGUGUAUUUUAUUGUUCUAUCCCUACUACAAUAGAAUGCUUUUCUCUGAAAUGAAGGAACUCGUUUCCGAUACCCGUCGACCACAAGAACACAGCCAUUUGUGGUCGGUUGGCCAGUGGACCGUACAUCAUAUUACUGGGAAAAUUCAUUCUUCAGUCGCACUCGUAUGUGGAAAAAACAUUCUGCAGAAGUAUUUAUCCGCAAUUUCUAUGUAAAGAGGUUUAAAUCAAAUGUCCACCAACACUACUCCUAGGACAAAAAAAGUAUACUUUGGCACUGAUUCUUUGAGGGAAUUUGUUUAAAAAUAUACAGAAUCAAGAGACUUAAGCAACACUUUUUGCUUUGAUUUAAAGUGUAGUUUAAUCUGAUUACUGUAAAAAAAUAAAUUCUGUAGAACGUGGAUCGAGGAUGGUCUUUUCACACCAGUUGCUGGACAAUGAUACGAAAACGGACUUAAUCAGCAGUAUAUGUAGGCCACUUGCUGGUUCUUCUUUGAGAUAAGUAUAUUGAAUUUGAACACUUUAUAAUACAUUCCCUGUUUAACAGUAAAAAUCUUAGCAGCUGAUUUGAAUUAUAUUCAAAUGGGGUGUUCCUGAUAUGAUCGAAAUCUUAAAACAAACUCCCAAAAACAAAGUGUUUAAUCAUGUGGACAAAUAUAAAUAUCUGAAACGAGACAUUACGUGGCAAUUUUCUUGGUUAAAGAAAUGUCUUUUUUAAGUUAAAUUUUCAGCAAAGAUAUCAGGUAUAUCCUGUUCAUAUAAAAUUUCACUCUAACUCUAUCACGCAGAAACUAUGGACCCAAUGUCGGCGAAACGAAAAUUUGUAAUAUCGGUAAUAUAAUUGCAUGACUAUGUGGCAAAAAACGCAUUGAUAUCAUCAAUGGUAUCAUAUUUUGUCAAAGUAUUAUCUGAUUCGAUUAACAUUGAAAACUAUCAGUACAGCGUAGUGUCUGGCCCAAUAUUUGAUGACGAAUAACAACUAACAAUAUCCAACAUUUUAUCUCGUCCUAUUGAACAAAGGAUCUGAGUUAUCUCUCAAGAUUACUUUUAUAUUCAAAUGGUUCUUGAACUUCUGUCUUUAUGGUGUAAUUUAAAGAUGCUCAUUUGAUAGAUUAGGGAUCAUGUUAUCUGUACAUCAAGAUCUAUCAGCAGCGAACAUCGAUCUGUAAACAUAUGAGACUAUGAAAGAGAUAUUUUUUAAAUUACGUUUUAUUCAUCCUAAAUUUGGUAAUUUUUUUAUUUUUUAUUUUCAAAAAAUAAUUAUUUUAUACACCAAUUAAAUCGGCAACUUUUUGAUCUUCCCUAAAGCGUAAUAGUUUCAUUUAAAGGUGCUGACGUGUAAUUAUCACAAUUUUUGCUUUAAUUGAAAACAGAAAAUUGCUCUACCAAGACGAAUUUUUUUCUUUUACAAAGAAAAUUGUUAAAUCACAUAAAGAAAAAUUGAAACAUAUACAAAUGGAAACGUCAUUAUUGCAACAUUUACCUUUUGACAAAAAUGAAUCAAACGGAACGAGCAUAAAGAACUCACAAGGGAACGCGCUUAUAAGUAUUAAUAAAAAAACAAACAAGCAAAGAUUUACAAAUCAAAAUUGUAACAAGGACCUUAACAAUUUGAUGAAGAUACAAAUAAGAUACAAGAUGUUAUAAGCCUACUUGCAACAAACUCAAUAUAAUAGAAUAAAAACAAAAAAAUGCCGCCACUUUAUGGUUCAUUGACGAGGCAAAUUGCUACUUCCUUAUGAGAGCAUAAAUUUAAAUUCUAAUACAUAAAAGUGCAUAAGAAAAAAAAAAACAUACACUGGGGAUGACUGUCUAAUGUUUGACGAGAUCUGGAACAAAGUAGGGUGAGUUCAAGAAAACGACAAUGUUUUGGGUAAUGGUGCUGAAAUAAGCAGAUGAAGACAUCAUCAUCGUCAUCAUACAUUGACUCAAUUCAGGCAAUCAAUGCUGUUGCUGAUGUUUAUUAACUAUGAAAUGCUGAUGAUGUAAUUCCCUUAAGACACUUGAGUAUUUUUUUGUUAAGGAGAAAAGAAAUUUUUUUUCAAAUAUUUUAAAUUUAUGCUGAUUUCAACUAACAGGUAUGUAUUACAUUUAAAUCAAAAAAGGCUACGGAAGAGCUAAAGAUUUGUU